CUAGAAUAUGGGAGAGGUAGAUGGAAUUUCUGGUGUAGGGGUAAAAUCCGUAGAGAUCAGAAGGAAUACCGAUUGCGAAGGCGAUCUACUGGAACAUUAUUGACGCUGAGACGCGAAAGCGUGGGGAGCAAACAGGAUUAGAUACCCUGGUAGUCCACGCCCUAAACGAUGUACAUUAGUUGUUGUGAGGCUAGACCUUGCAGUAAUGCAGUUAACACAUUAAAUGUACCGCCUGGGGAGUACGGUCGCAAGAUUAAAACUCAAAGGAAUAGACGGGGACCCGCACAAGCGGUGGAGCAUGUGGUUUAAUUCGACGAUACGCGAAGAACCUUACCUGGACUUGACAUAGUAAGAAGAUUUAAGAGAUUAGAUUGUGUCUGCUUGCAGAAACUUAUAUACAGGUGCUGCGCGGCUGUCGUCAGCUCGUGUCGUGAGAUGUUGGGUUAAGUCCCGCAACGAGCGCAACCCUCGUGAUUAGUUGCUAACAGUUCGGCUGAGAACUCUAAUCAGACUGCCUGGGUAACCAGGAGGAAGGUGAGGACGACGUCAAGUCAUCAUGGCCCUUACGUCCAGGGCUACACACGUGCUACAAUGGGGCAUACAAAGAGCAGCAAUACCGCGAGGUGGAGCAAAUCUUAAAAAUGCCUCCCAGUUCGGAUAGCACUCUGCAACUCGAGUGCU
rnacentral:rRNA from 1 species